rnacentral:lncRNA from 1 species
ACUGUGAACUAGAAGCAGGAGUCCUGGGCUCCAGCUACGGCACCAUCACUGACAUCCGGUGUGACAUCGGGCCGAGUCUUUGCUCCCUCCGGGCCUCAGUUUCCCCACAUCAAAUAAUUAAAAUUAUCCCUUAGUUGAUGAUGCUUCUAGCACUCUCGUUUGGCUUUCAAUUCCAUGGGCUACGCUGCAGAUACGGAAACUAAGGCCCAGAGAUGUGAGGUGACUUGCUUGAAGCCACACAAUAAGGUUUUAGCAGAGGCAGGUUUUGAAUCCGGUGUACUCUAGUUUGAGACUCCCCAAUCCAGUAUCUGGCCUCUGGACUUGGUUUACAAGCCCCAAUCUAGCUUGGGCAUUCCAGAACACUCACAUAUCACAGCCACCACGCACCAGCUCCACCCACUCUUAAAGCAAUAUAUCAGUUCGUUCUCUUGGGAGCCAGACAGACAGAGCCUAAAGCCCGAGCUCAGCCUGACCCACAGGAGGCCUUUGUAGACUCAACCUGUUCCUCUUUGGCAAGCUUUUAAACCUCGUCCUCCAGGAAAGUGGGACCUCCACUCCUCUGCCAGGUCCCUAAGCCUGGGUCCCUCUCCCAUGAUCCCCUCCCACCGAGCAAUCCCAGUAACCCUCAAUUCUUCCACCUACUUCUCCAUUGUGGUCUCCGAGGGGAAGAAGAUGGUGUUCGGAAGCAAGCCUGGGGAUAUGAAAGGGCAGAAUGAGAGUGGGUGACUAUGGUCAGGAGGACCAGAACCCCACCAUUCUUGAGGACAAAGCAGAGAGGAGGGCUCUUCUUCAUCUUCUUCCUCCACAGAUGCCCUGAGGACUGUGUCCUCAGUAGUGCUUGCUGACUUAUGUACAGAGAGAACAAACAUCAGUCCCUCCAAUCUGUGAAGCGGAAACAAUAGGAAAGGCAGCUAAGAAGCAGAGGAACCUAGCAGGGAGCUUGCACAGUGGGGGCAGUUCACACCACACUGUGGUGAACACGUCACUCUCCGGGCUUUUCUGAGUUAGAGCGGCAAGCCCACUCCACGACUCCAUCCAGCGUGCCACACAGAACAGCCAAGCUGGGAACUCCACUGGCCAUCACAGUCCCUGGGUCGUGAGCCUAAUCAGAGGGGAACAAGUUUCCUUUAGGCUAGGCUACCUCUUGCCACUGGGCCACCUCCCACCAGCCACACUCACUUCUCCCCAUCCCUUCCCACAGGGCUCUUUCUACUCGAGGGUUUAGCCACGGAUGCUUCGAAGCCUUUGGUUUUAUAAGCUGGGUUUUGCAGGGGGUCUGGGUUUGCUUCUCAAGACCUUAUGGGCUGAGACCUCCCUGGUAUCCAUGCAGGUUGGUUGAUUAAAAAAAAAAGUGUUUUCUUC